ACAGGUGCCUGUAAUCCCAGCUACUCAGGAGGCUGAAGCAGGAGAAUCGCUGGAACCCAGGAGGCAGAGGUUGCAGUGAGCCGAGAUUGCGCCAUUGCACUCCAGCCUGGAGGACAAGAGCGAGACUUCAUCUCAAAAAAAAAGAGUCUUUUCUAAGAUUUCUUUUGUUUUACUGAUUUUACUUUCUUGUUUUUAUACCAAAAUCAUGUUUCCUAAAUUUUUACUCUCAAAAGUGCUUUAAUAGCUGGUAAAAUUCAACUUUUUCUCUGGGUCUUUUUCUUGGGUUUUUUGUUUGUUUGUUUGUUUGUUUGUUUGUUUGUUUUGAGACAGGGUCUCACUUUGUCACCUAGGCUGGUGUGCCGUGGCACAGUCAUGGCUCAUUGCAGCCUCGAUCUCCCAGGCUCAAGUAAUCCUCCCACCUCAGCCUCCCAAGUAGCUGGAACUUCAGGUGCACACCACCAUGCUCAGCUAAUUCUUGUAUUUUUUGUAGAGAUGGGGUUUCGCCAUGUUGCCCAGGCUGAUCUCCAACUCCUGCGCUCAAGUGACUCUCCUGCCUCAGCCUCCCAAAGUGCUGGGAUUACAGGCGUGAACUGCUGCACUCGGCCUGGAUUAAUCUUUUUCAACUCCAUGUUUCAUUCCCAUAAUUGCUGUCUUUGCCAGAAUAUUCUUUAGCCUCACAAUGUUUAGUUUUUACAAUCCUAAAAGAAUAAUUGAACACCUGUUAUGUGUCAGUUCCAUUAGAUGCUGGAGGCUAAAAUAUGAAUAAGAUAGUUCAUAUUGCCCCCUAGAAGGACUCUUAGUCUUCUCUGGUCAAAACCAAGUCAAUAAAGGAAGUAUUAGUUGGAAACCCUCAGUCUCCCCAGCCUCAAUACCUAGCUUCACUUGUACAUCCAGCAGCCCCUGGGGUCUACUUUGCAACCUUCCAGUUUGCCAUAUGUGAUAUUUUCUAUUGGA
rnacentral:lncRNA from 1 species